rnacentral:rRNA from 1 species
AGUGAACGCUGGCGGUAGGCCUAACACAUGCAAGUCGAACGGCAGCACAGUAAGAGCUUGCUCUUACGGGUGGCGAGUGGCGGACGGGUGAGGAAUACAUCGGAAUCUACUUUUCGUGGGGGAUAACGUAGGGAAACUUACGCUAAUACCGCAUACGACCUACGGGUGGAAGCAGGGGAUCUUCGGACCUUGCGCGAUUGAAUGAGCCGAUGUCGGAUUAGCUAGUUGGCGGGGUAAAGGCCCACCAAGGCGACGAUCCGUAGCUGGUCUGAGAGGAUGAUCAGCCACACUGGAACUGAGACACGGUCCAGACUCCUACGGGAGGCAGCAGUGGGGAAUAUUGGACAAUGGGCGCAAGCCUGAUCCAGCCAUACCGCGUGGGUGAAGAAGGCCUUCGGGUUGUAAAGCCCUUUUGUUGGGAAAGAAAAGCAGCAGGUUAAUACCCCGCUGUUCUGACGGUACCCAAAGAAUAAGCACCGGCUAACUUCGUG